rnacentral:RNase_P_RNA from 2 species
AAAUACGGGAAAUUGCGGCACUGCUUUAUUGCAGUGUUGAGGAAAGUCCAGACUGCCACAACCUGAGAUGGUUGUAAUGUUCGUGCCCAGCGCAAGCUGGGGCAGAGCUAAGCUCUGACGACGGCAAAAUCGACUCAUGCAGCCGAAAGUAGCCAUAAAGUGCACAGAGAAAGAGUAGACUGGCGACAGUCUAGUGAAAAGUGGUAAACUCCACGAGGCAGAAACCCAAAUUUUGGUAGGGGAACUUCCUGAAGGGAAUCAAACCAAAAGGAAGAACGCAGUUUAUGCGUUAGAUAAAUAAUUUCCUAAAACAGAAACUGGCUUACGGUU